rnacentral:tRNA from 1 species
GGGUUCUUAGCUCAGCUGGUAGAGCAGCGGACUCUUAAUCCGUUGGUCGUAGGUUCGAAUCCUACAGGACCCA